CCAUACUGCAUAGAAAAAGUAGUCGGAAAUGGAAUUGGCUGAGUGAGAAAUCCAGAAAAUUCCUUCAAAAUCAAAUCUACGAUUGAGGGUUUGUGAAACGCGAUCAAUAAAUGGCGCUGUUGGCUUCUUUGGCCGGAGGGCUUGCUGCAGUUGGUAAACUUUUAGGUGCUAUCUAUCCGAAGAUGAAGAGUAGGAUCAGAUUCCGAUCCAACCUCGAAAAACUCAACAAGGAAAUGGGAAAACUAACAAAUCUUGGAAACGCCGUGAAAGAACAGAUCGAGGAAGCUGAGAAGAGAAGAGGCCAGGUAGCUGCUGCACCAGCAGUGACGAUGUGGCUUGAAGAGCUUGAAGCCAUCAACAAGGAAGUGAAUUCAAUAGAAGCACAGGUACAACAAGGUAACCUUUGUCCAACAACUCCAAGUUGCUGCUGCCUUGGCUGUACACUAGGUGAAAAAGUAUCCAAGAGCCUCACCGAGGUUAGAAGACUCAUUGAAGCCGUCAAGUUUUUUUCUAAUAGCAUGGUGGUUGAAAAUUGCCAAUUGAAAAUAGUUGAGCACAUCCCGGGGCCUUCAAUCAUUGGCCAAUCGACAGCUUCCAAAAAUCUAAUCAAGGUUAUGAAUUUGUUGAAUGAUGACGAUGAUGGUGCAAGUAAGAUCGGCGUUUGGGGUAUGGGUGGAGUUGGCAAGACUACUCUAGUCAAGAACUUGAACAACCAGCUCGAGACUGCUUCUGCUGCUUCUUCUCUUGCUCAACCUUUCAGCAUCAUUAUAUGGCUCACCGUCUCCAAGGAAUUGGACCUGAAAAGGCUCCAAACACAACUCCUGGAAAGAUUGAAUUUGGUGGUAAAAGCAGGGGAAAACAUGGAGAGUUCUGCAAGCAGACUUCAUAAACGACUUAAAAUGGAGAAACGAUUCCUCCUCAUUCUAGAUGAUGUUUGGGAGGCAAUUGAUUUGGAUUAUCUAGGUGUCCCACAAGAACAACCAGAAUUUCAACUGGGAAACAAGGUAAUACUGACCUCUCGAUCUUUGGAUGUUUGUCGGCAGAUGAAGACGGAUAUAGAUGUUAAAGUGGAUGUUCUAAGCGAGGAAGAAUCUUGGCAACUGUUUACUCAAAAUGCUGGGAAGGUAGCCACUCUACCACAUAUUGAACCGAUUGCAAGGAAAGUUAGCAAAGAAUGUAGUGGAUUGCCCCUAGCCAUCAUCAUUGUUGGGGCUUCCAUGAGGGGGAAGACAACGGAGACAUUGUGGAACGAUGCCUUAAAUGCUUUGGAAAUGUCUGUGCCUAGCGUCAAAGGAAUUGAGGAUAAGGUGUACAAGCCUCUCAAAUGGAGUUACGAUUCAUUGUUUUUCCAAGAUAUGGAUAUCAAAUCUUGUUUUUUGUAUUGCUCCUUAUAUCCAGAGGACUUUUCAAUUCAAGUAAGGGAACUUGUGCAAUGCUGGAUUGCGGAAGGCUUGUUGGUAGUACGAAAAAGCUAUGAGGAUUCAAUGAAUAGGGGAAUUGCUUUGGUUGAAAAUCUCAAGGACUCUUGCUUGCUAGAAGAUGGUAUCUUCAACCACACUGUGAAGAUGCAUGACGUAGUUCGUGAUGUAGCCAUAUGGAUUGCGUCCUCCUCGAAGCUUUAUGGAUGUAAGUCCUUUGUUCAGUCAGGAAUCGGUUUGAAUCAAAUUUCAGAAGCUGAAUUGUCAAAAUCUCUCAAUAGAGUUUCUUUCAUGGAGAACAAAAUAACAAGGUUGCCUGAUUGUGCAAUACGAUGCCCAAAGGUAUCAAGUCUACUUCUACAAGGUAAUCUUCCUCUUGAGAUAGUUCCAGAAGGAUUCCUGCUUGGAUUUCCAGCACUUAGAGUCUUGAAUCUGAGUGAAACUCGCAUUCAUACACUACCUCUUUCAGUUAUCCAAUUGCGUAAACUCAAGGCUCUUCUGCUACAAGGAUGUCAGAACCUCAAAGAAUUACCCCCACUUGGAACACUUCAUAGGUUACAAGUUCUCGAUUGCUCUUCCACUAAUCUUGAGGCAUUGCCAGAAGGAAUGGAAAAUUUAACUGAUCUAAGGCUGUUAGAUCUGUCAGAAACUCACCACUUGAGACAUAUUCCAUAUGGAAUUAUAUCCCAGUUGUCCCGUUUAGAAACUAUAGACAUGACAAAUAGUUUCUACAAGUGGGGUGGGAAGAGACCAAAGGAAGAAUUGGAAAAAGCACCAAUUGAUGAGCUAGGAUGCCUCAACCAAUUGAUUGCUCUAUACAUUAACCUGAACAGCUCGUAUCUCGCCUUUGAAGAUCUUUCUUGGAUAAAAAGAUUAAAAAGAUUCCAUUUUGUCAUUGGUCAUGCUGAUGAAAAACUUCUAGUACAACAAAAAUAUGAGGAAAAGAGGGUUACUCUUUGUCGGGUUGAUUUCUUUGGGGAAUGUUAUUGGGUUACGCAACUGUUGGAAAAUGCAAGUAAUCUGACUUUGGAUUAUUGUCAAAAUCUAGAAGAGAUACCUGCAGGCUUGGCGAACAAAUGCUACUGUUUUAUUGGUUUGAAAUCACUAACUAUCACAGAUUACCAUGGUGAUAUUCUACCAGCAAGAGAAAGCUGUGAUGACCAAUUUGACCUCUUACCUAAUCUUCAGGAACUUGUUCUCAAUGAAGUGUCUUCUCUAAGGUCCAUUUCAGAACUAGCUCACCUUCUCGAACUCCGACUUUCUAAACUAAGAAAAAUAAGUUUGUCCUAUUGUAGCAGUUUAGAAUAUCUUGUCUCUUCUAGUGGGACUUUGAAAAAUCUAGAAGAAGUCACCGUUAGCUAUUGUAGGAAGUUUGCAGAGCUCUUUGAGAAUGCUAGUUCAAGCGAGUCUUUUGAGGACCUUCCUGAGCAUGCUACUUCAAGCCAGACAUUAGUUCCGAGUUGCAUUGUUCCAAACCUACGGAUAAUGAAAUUGAAAAAUCUUCCCGAAUUAACCACCCUAUGCGGACAGCACCAGUCAUGGCAGCAUCUAGAGAUACUUGAAGUGAUCAAUUGCAAUCAAAUCAAAAAGUUGCCAUUCACUACCCAAAAUGCAAAUGCCAUAGAAGAAAUAAGAGGUGACUUGCAAUGGUGGAACGAUUUGGAGUGGGACGAAGAAGAUACAAAAUCAAGUCUGCAGCAGUAUUUCAAUCCUUGUUGGUGCUGAAGGUAUAUGCUUUCGAGACUGCUCAAGGAAUUCACAUGUCUGUCGCUCUGCUGAGUAGCAAAGCAAGUCAAGAAGAAUAAAGAAAAUGGAGCUCUGUAUUUGUGUACUCAAGAGCCACGCUUUUGAAGCUCAAUGCAGGUUGGACUUUCUCCAACUAGCUCGGAAAGUGUUGUUUUGGGCGAGUGAGCGAAGCAUUUUCAGAAAAAUAUUGAGAGUUACGAUAUCUGCGAUCACUUCAUGGCUGGAGGACUUGUAGCGGUUGGUCAGCAUUUUUGUGGCUUUAUCUAUCCUAAGAUCAAGAGCAUGAUCAGAUCCCGAUCAAACCUCGAAAAACUCAGGAAGGAAAUGGGAAAUCUAUUAAGUCUUGGAAACAACUUGAAAGGACAGAUUGAGGCAGCAGAAGAAGUGGCCAUGUAGCUGCACCAGCAGUGACCAAGUGGCUUGAAGAGUUUGAAAACAUCAAGAAUGAAGUGAAUUCCGUAGAAGCAAGUGUGGAAUCCAACGGCGGUAAAUGUUGUCCAACAACACCAAGUUGCUGCCUUGGCUGUACACUGGGUGUCAAAGUAGACAAGAACCUCACUGGGGUUAGAAGACUCAUUGAAGCUGCCAAUUUUCCAAGUGGCAUGGUGGUUGAAAACUACCAAGUGAAAAAAGUUGAGCACAUCCCGGGGCCUUCAAUUGCAGGGCAAUCGACAGCUUCCAAAAAUCUAAUGAAGGUUAUGGAUUUGUUGAGUGAUGAUGAUGGUGCAAGUAGGAUCGGCGUUUGGGGUAUGGGCGGCGUUGGCAAGACUACUCUGGUCAAGAACCUGAACAACCAGCUCGAGACCGCUGCUUCUUCUGCUCAGCCUUUCAGCAUCAUUAUAUGGGUCACCGUCUCCAAGGAAUUGGACUUGAAAAGGCUCCAAACACAACUCCUGGAAAGAUUGAAUUUGGUGGUAAAAGCAGGGGAAAGCAUGGAGAGUACAGCAAGCCAACUUCAUGAACGACUUCAAAAGGAGAAAAGAUUCCUCCUCAUUCUUGAUGAUGUUUGGGAGACAAUUGAUUUGGAUUAUUUAGGUGUCCCACAAUGUGAUGAAUUUCACAUGGGACACAACAUAAUUUUGACCUCUCGCUCUUUGGAUGUUUGUCGGUAAAUGAAGACAGAUACAGAUGUUGAAGUGGAUGUUCUAAACGAGGAAGAAUCUUGGCAACUGUUUACUCAAAAUGCUGGGAAGGUAGCUGGUAUACAACAUAUUGAGCCAAUCGCAAGGAAAGUUAGCGGAGAAUGUGGUGGAUUGCCCCUAGCCAUCAUCAUUAUUGGGGCUUCCAUGAGAGGGAAGACAACAGAGGCAUUGUGGCACGACGCCUUAAAUGCUUUGCAAAGGUCAGUGCCUCGCAUCAAAGGCAUUAAGGAUAAGGUGUACAGGCCCCUCAAGUGGAGUUAUGAUUCGUUAUUUUUUCAAGGUAUGGAUAUCAAAUCUUAUUUCUUGUAAUGCUCUUUAUAACCAGAGGACUUUGAAAUAGAAGUGAAGGAACUUGUGCAAUGCUGGAUUGCUGAAGGUUUGGUAGAUGAUGAACUACGAAACUGUGAGGAUUCAAUGAAUAGGGGAAUCGCUUUGGCUGAAAAUCUCAAGGAUUCUUGCUUGUUGGAAGAAGGUAUUACAAUGGAAACAGUGAAGAUGCAUGACAUAGUUCGUGACAUCGCCCUAUGGAUUGCAUCCUCUUCCUCCUCGGAGUCAGAUGGAUGUAAUAAUAGGUCACUUGUUCAGUCAGGAAUUGGUUUGAAUCGAAUUUCAAUGGGUGCAUUGUCAAAAUCACUCGAGAGUUUCUUACAAUGAUAUGGCAAUGUUACCUGAUUGUACAACACAAUGUCCAAUGGUAUCAAGUUUGCUUCUACAAGCUAAUUUUUGUCUUCAGAUAGUUCCAGAAGGAUUCCUUCUAGGAUUUCAAGCACUUAAUGUCUUGAAUCUGAGUCGAACUCACAUCCGUACACUGCCUAUUUCCCUUGUCCAGUUGAGUCAACUCCGGGCUCUUAUACUACGAAGAUGUCAAAGACUCGCUAAAUUACCCCCGGUUGGAAAUCUUUGUAAUUUGGAAGUGCUUGAUUGCUCUUCCAGUGAUCUCGAGUUAUUGCCAGAAGGAAUGGAAAAUUUAACCAAUCUCAGGCUAUUAGAUCUAUCAAAAACUUCCUUGAGAUAUAUUCCAAAUGGAAUUAUAUCCCAGUUGUCCCGUUUAGAAAUUAUAAACACGACAAAAAGUUUCUACACUUGGGGUGCGAGGAGUGAGUUAGAAAGGGGACAAACACCAUUUGAUGAGCUACAAUGCCUCGACCGAUUGAGUGCUCUAUUCAUGAACUUCAAUUCCUAUAACCUCGCAUUUGAAGAUCUUUCUUGGAUAGAAAGGUUAAAAAGAUUCCAUGUUGUCAUUCAUAAAAGUCCAACUAAUGCAAAAGCAUUACAAGUGAUGAGGUGGUCUAACAGGGCUACUAGUACUGACUCUGAUAAGAAUUGGAUGAAGUCGUUGGUGCAAAAAGCAAAUCUGCAAACAAUUCCUACAGACUUCCCCAAAGAAUAUCGAUUUAUUGGUUUGAGAUCACUAACUAUGACAGAUUGUGACCUAAAUUUUCAACCAGCAAGAGUUAGUGGUACCAAAUUUUACCCAUUACUGACCCUUGAGGAACUUAUUCUCCUUCGUCUGGGUUUAGAGUCCAUUUCAGAACUAGUUCACCAUCUCCAUUUGAGAUUUUCUGAACUUAGAAUAAUAAAAGUGUCUGAAUGUUACUACUUAAAAAAUCUCUUCUCUUCAACUAGUAUUACACCGACUUUAAAAAAUCUAGAAAAAGUCACAAUUAGCCAUUGUAGGAAGUUGGUGGAGCUCUUUGAGAGUGCUAGUUCAAGCCAGUCAUCUGAGGGGUUGUUAGAGGAGCUUGUUGAGAAUGCUACUUCAAGCCAGACAUUGAUUCCGAGUUGCAUUGUUCCAAACCUACGGAUAAUGAAAUUGAAGGAGCUUCCCAAAUUAGCGACCCUGGGCGGGCACCACCAGUCAUGGCAGCAUCUAGAGAAACUUGAAGUGAUCCAUUGCAAUCAAAUCAAGAAGUUGCCAUUCACUACCCAAAAUGCAACUGCCAUAAAAGAAAUAAGAGGUGCAUCGCAAUGGUGGAAUGAUUUGGAGUGGGAUGAUGAAAAUACAAAAUCAGGUCUACAGCAGUAUUUCAAGCCCUAUUGAUGCUGGAAGGUGCAGGCUUUCGGGAUUGCUCAAAGAUUUCACAAGUCUAUUGCAUUGCUGGGUAGCAAGUCAAGAAUAAACUGAAAGGAGCUGUGCAUUUGUCUACUCAAAGGCCAUGCUUUUGAAGCUCAAUGCAGGUUGAACUUUCUCCAACUAGCUCGAAAAGUGUUCGUUUGGGAGGUCAGUCCAGUUUACUUUCUGCGAGUUCUUGUAACAUGUUGAAUUUAGGCAAAAUUUUUGAAUGAAUAUUGUAGUUGCCCUUGUGUGGAAUUUCCCUAGGGUGGACAAUUGUAUAUGUCCAUGACUGGGUGCUCGUGUUGUGUGAUUGUUCAGUUGUUUGAUUACUUAUCUCUUACUCUUAUUGUCAUUUUCUGUUAGUUUAUAUAUGAUGGUGUUGGUUGCUUU